ensembl:snRNA U6 U6 spliceosomal RNA
GUGUUUGCCUCAGCAGCACAAAUACUACACUAGGGACAGUACAGAGAAAAUGAAUGUGACCCCGAACCAAAGAAGACAUACAGAUUUGUGAAGCAUUACUGUUUGUU